rnacentral:rRNA from 1 species
GACGGGACCGCACAAGCGGUGGAUGAUGUGGUUAACUCGAUGCAACGACGAAAACCUUACCACCUUUGACAUGGCAGGAAUCCCGAAGAGAUUGGGAGUGCUCGAAAGAGAACCUGCACACAGGUGCUGCAUGGCUGUCGUCAGCUCGUGUCGUGAGAUGUUGGGUUAAGUCCCGCAACGAGCGCAACCCUUGCCAUUAGUUGCUACGAAAGGGCACUCUAAUGGGACUGCCGGUGACAAACCGGAGGAAGGUGGGGAUGACGUCAAGUCCUCAUGGCCCUUAUAGGUGGGGCUACACACGUCAUACAAUGGCCGGUACAGAGGGUAGCCAACCCGCGAGGGGGAGCCAAUCCCACAAAGCCGGUCGUAGUCCGGAUCGCAGUCUGCAACUCGACUGCGUGAAGUCGGAAUCGCUAGUAAUCGCGGAUCAGCAUGUCGCGGUGAAUACGUUCCCGGGUCUU